rnacentral:rRNA from 1 species
UGGGGAAUAUUGCACAAUGGACGGAAGUUUGAUGCAGCGACGCCGCGUGGAGGGUGUAGGCCUUCGGGUUGCGAACUCCUUUUUCUCGCGAAAAAGGCACAGUUUUGGCUGUGUUGAUGGUAGUGGGGGAAGAAGCGCCGGCUAACUACGUGCCAGCAGCCGCGGUAAUACGUAGGGCGCGAGCGUUGUCCGGAUUUAUUGGGCGUAAAGAGCUCGUAGGUGGUUCGUCGCGUCUGUCGUGAAAGCCAGCAGCUUAACUGUUGGUCUGCGGUGGGUACGGGCGGGCUUGAGUGCGGUAGGGGUGACUGGAAUUCCUGGUGUAGCGGUGGAAUGCGCAGAUAUCAGGAGGAACACCGAUGGCGAAGGCAGGUCACUGGGCCGUUACUGACACUGAGGAGCGAAAGCGUGGGGAGCGAACAGG